rnacentral:rRNA from 1 species
ACUGCAGCUCUGGAAGGGGUAGAUACUGUUUUCCACACUGCUACUGCGGAUCAGAUCAAGAACAACUUCCAACUCCAUUACAAGGUCAACAUCGAGGGGACAAAGAAUGUCAUUGAGGCUUGUAACAAAUGCAAGGUUAAGACACCCAUAUACACUAGUUCCAGUGGAGUUGUAUUCGAUGGAGUUCAUGGCCUUUUUGGUGGAGAUGAAUCGACACCAUAUCCACAUAAGUUUCCUGAUGCAUACACACAAACCAAGGCAGAAGCCGAAAAUUUGGUGAUGAGAGCCAAUGGAAUAGAUGAGCUUCUCACUUGUUGUAUACGUCCUGGCACCAUCUUUGGCCCUGGUGACACAAUAGUGCCAACUUUGGUUUCUUACGGAGGAAUGAUGAUCAUUGUUGGUGAUGGCAAGAAUUGUGAUGAUUUUGUAUAUGUUGAGAAUGUGGUGCAUGCUCAUAUAUGUGCCAAGAAAACCCUUUCUAUGAAAGACGGUGCAAAGAGAAGUGGAGGCAAAACCUACUUUAUAACUAAUAUGGAGCCAGUGAAUAUGUGGGACUUUAUUUACAUGGUUUUGGAAGAACUUGGAUACAAAAGCCGUGUCAGAUUAAGAAUACCUUUAUGUCUUCUCGAGCCGAUAACAUUUCUGGUAGACUGGAGCUAUAAUAAUAUAUUCUCGCACUAUGGAAUGCGUCAACCUGGCAUGCUAACAUCCACAAGAAUUAAGUAUGUGACCCUCAAUAGAACAUUCCAGUGCAAGAAUGCUGUUGAACAACUUGGUUACAAAGCAAUAGUGUCAUUCAAGGUUGUUACUUUAAAUUUUCUUAGUUCAAUUUCUAUACUUUGUAAAAAAAUUCACUGA